UAAAACUUUCGAUCCACUUAUCCACUUGUCGAGCUUAAUAAAAAGGGAGGUUUUCUCGGCAAUAGAAGACAAGAAAUUUUGUCACUAUCAAUCAAAUUUCAAGGUUAUUCUGCUGGCUCACAAUUAAAAUAAAAUAUUAUAUGUGUAAGCGUCAAGCAUUGAAGAUUCCUAAGUGGAAGGAGCAUAUUUUUCGUAUCUAUGUAUAAUUACUUCAAACCAAUCACUCAGGAGAUGUCUCGUGUAUAAAACGCGGUAACUCUUAGAAAGAGGAGAGGAGAGAGCAAGAAAUAAGGCCGCAGAUUCAGGAGUAGAUCUACGCAUAGCAUCCAUAUCAACUGCGAGACUCAGUUGUUAAUUCUCUGUUAAACUCUGGCGAAACCGACGCUACCAACAACAAUUAAUCGAUUUGAAACGUUAGCUGUUAAAAAAAUAAUUGUCAAGAAAGGCAACACAAGAUGAUUGUUUCACAUAACAUCCGCCCGUCCGUCCAUCCAUCCAUCCAUCCAUACAGAAGAAGCGAUUCGCGAUACGUUGAAGGCAUUCAACUGGGAGGCGCUAGUUAAUAACGAAGCUCAAGUACUUCUGACUACUACUUGUUUUAUCGAUGGGAUACGCGUUCGCUGACACUUUGCGCUGUUUCUUCGCUUCUUACGAACCUGUACGAAAUGGCUGGCUCGCCUCAAAAUACCAACAGUUUUGGCAUGACGCCCGCAAAUGAUUAGAUAGGUGGGAAAAAUGCAUAGCUAGCGAUGGUGCGUACCUGGUAUAUAAAUAAUUUUAAUCUUUGAUGCUAAUCUACUUGGAUGCUAAUCUAUCUGGAAGUGCUAUUACUAUAUACGUACAUAUUAACUAGGAAGGAUUUAUAAGAAGAAAGUAAUAGGUCACAAGCAAAAUGUUGAUACUACGAGGCAUAACAAAUUAUUAUCAACUCUCAGGAGUAAUGAUAAUAUUGCUCUCUUCUGGAUUUCUUGACUUUUUUUUUUGGUUUUUCUAUUCAUGAAUAAAAAAAGAAUUUCUAUUAAAUCUUCUUAACGCUUGCAACAUUUUAGGUUUUAAGUGGGAAAUCAAUACAAAAAAGCUUCGCAAACACAGAAGCAAUAGCAUUUAAUAGUUUAAGAGGGGGAAAACUAAUAAUAGUAUGUAAGUAGAGUAUAUCGAAUACAAGUAUAAAUUAUAAUCUUAUGGUGGUGAUGACGAAUUCGGGAUAUCUACAACUAAUUGAAGACGUCAGAAAAC